AUGAAGAGGCUGCUGCGCUCUCUGCUGGGGCUUCUGUGCACCCAGGUUUGCUGGGUGAAAGGGCAGCAAGUGCAGCAGAGUCCUGUGUCCUUGGUUCUGCAGGAGGGAGAGAACGCAGAGCUGCAGUGCAAAUUUUCCACCACAGCAACUGAGCUGCAGUGGUUUUUCCAACGUCCUGGGGGAAGCCUGGUCAGCCUGUUGAACAAUCCUUCUGGGACAAAGCAGAGUGGAAGACUGACAUCCACGACAGUGGUUAAGGAACGAAGCAGCUCUUUGCACAUUUCUUCCUCCCAGACCACAGACUCAGGCACUUAUUUCUGUGCUAUGAAUCCACAGUGCUCCCCACACACCUGCAGCCUGUACACAAAACUUCAGCUGGGUGGGUGAGUGCCUAACCAGUCACAAGACAUCAGGAAGCCACCACAGAAUGUCUGCCAGGGUUAAUAUCAUUUUUUUAUUUAUAUUUGUAGAAUUUUAACUUCAUGUAAGCUUUGGCCUAUGAGGUUAAGGACUUUGGUUUUUAUCUUUAUUGUUCAAUACAUGCUUUGUUCUGAGGCAUAGAUGUCCAUUCUAGAACUAAUAGAGAGGCUGACAGGAGGUUUGAAUCAAUGUGAUCAUUUAAGCCACACUGCAAAGACAGCUGCUGUGCUCUCUGCUGGGGCUUCUGUGCACCCAGGUUUGCUGUGAGUCUGGCUGUCAGCAUUCAGGGCACCUAAGGAUCUGGCUCAGGAAAUGAAGAGGUGAGGGAAAGCUGCUCCAUUGUUCUGCAGAGCACCCAUCUUCUCAGAGGUCAUGGGAGUGUUUACAGGGCUCCUGGAUGCUGCAAUGACAACCAUCUGUGAAACAGCUAUUUCUCUGUUUCUAAUCAGUGGUGAAAGGGCAAGAAAUUGUAAGGAGAAACGGAGUGGAAAUCAAAGGCAGGCAUCCAGGUAGUACUGCUGUGGAUGGGGUCAGGGUUAGUGAAGAGAAAUCAAACUGCAGCAACAGCCAGAAGAUCAAGCCAUGUAAGCUAUAGGAGGCACAGAAAGGUGGAUGCUCCAGCAUUCUUAUCGCUGCUAUGAAAAAAUGCAACCUAGAGGGUGAAAGAAUGUAUUGUGCUUUUGCUUCCAGGUCAUAGUUCAUCGUUGGUGGUAAUCAAGGCAGGAACUCAAACAGGAGAUUCAAAUAGAAACCGUGGAGAAAGUCUGUUGCUAACUCACUCACAGACUCAUUCUUCAUUAGCUUCCUUACAUAGACCUGGUCACUUUCCCACAAAAUGGUGGCACCCACAGUGGGCUGGUCUCCAAUACAUCAAAAAAUGCUCCUUAGCAUUAUAGUGUAAUUUUAUUAAAUUUACAGAAAACUUUAGGGUAUAUUGAAGCUAUUGAAUCUUCCAGUUCAUUCUUUUGAGUUAUCUUUUCAUUCAUUUAACUUUACUUGUCACUGCUUUGAGAUUUUCUA